rnacentral:rRNA from 1 species
AACGAACGCUGGCGGCAUGCCUAACACAUGCAAGUCGAACGAGGCCUUCGGGUCUAGUGGCGCACGGGUGCGUAACGCGUGGGAACCUGCCCUUAGGUUAGGAAUAACUCCCCGAAAGGGGUGCUAAUACCGGAUAAUGUCUUCGGACCAAAGAUUUAUCGCCUUUGGAUGGGCCCGCGUUGGAUUAGCCAGUUGGUAGGGUACAAGCCUACCAAGGCGACGAUCCAUAGCUGGUCUGAGAGGAUGAUCAGCCACACUGGGACUGAGACACGGCCCAGACUCCGACGGGAGGCAGCAGUGGGGAAUAUUGGACAAUGGGCGAAAGCCUGAUCCAGCAAUGCCGCGGGAGAGAUGAAGGCCUUAGUGUUGUAAAGCUCUUUUACCCGGGACGAUAAUGACAGUACCGGGUGAAUAAGCACCGGCUAACUCCGUG